rnacentral:rRNA from 1 species
UGGGGAAUAUUUCACAAUGGACGGAAGUCUGAUGCAGCAACGCCGCGUGCGGGAUGACGGCCUUCGGGUUGUAAACCGCUUUUUCUCAUGACGAAGUUUUUUGACGGUAGUGGGGGAAGAAGCACCGGCUAACUACGUGCCAGCAGCCGCGGUGAUACGUAGGGUGCGAGCGUUGUCCGGAAUUAUUGGGCGUAAAGAGCUUGUAGGCGGUUUGUCGCGUCGAUAGUGCAAACUCAGUGCUUAACGCUGAGCCUGCUGUUGAUACGGGCAGACUAGAGGAAGGUAGGGGAGAAUGGAAUUCCCGGUGGAGCGGUGGAAUGCGCAGAUAUCGGGAGGAACACCGGUGGCGAAGGCGGUUCUCUGGGCCUUUCCUGACGCUGAGAAGCGAAAGCGUGGGGAGCGAACAGG